rnacentral:rRNA from 1 species
AAUGAAUGCUGGCGGCGUGCUUAACACAUGCAAGUCGAGCGAGAAAGUUUCUUCGGAAAUGAGUAAAGCGGCGAACGGUUGAAUAACACGUGAGAAUCUACCUUUUAGUGAGGAAUACCUCCGAGAAAUCGGAGUUAAUACCGCAUAAGUCUGUAUAGCAAUAUACAGAGAAAGAUGGCCUCUUUGCUAUCGCUGAAAGAUGAGCUUGCGUACUAUCAGUUAGUUGGUAGGGUAAUGGCCUACCAAGACUAUGACGGUUAGCCGGCCUGAGAGGGUGGUCGGCCAGACUGGAACUUAGACACGGUCCAGACUCCUACGGGAGGCUG